rnacentral:rRNA from 1 species
CUAGUAAUCGCGGAUCAGCAUGCCGCGGUGAAUACGUUCCCGGGCCUUGUACACACCGCCCGUCACACCAUGGAAGUCUGCAAUGCCCGAAGCCGGUGGCCUAACCACUUAUGUGGAAGGAGCCGUCUAAGGCAGGGCAGAUGACUGGGGUGAAGUCGUAACAAGGUACC